AUUGAACGCUGGCGGCAGGCCUAACACAUGCAAGUCGAACGAGAGGCGGACGGGUGAGCAAUGUCUGGGAAACUGCCUGAUGUAGGGGGAUAACGACGGGAAAAGGUAGCUAAAGCUGCUUACCACCAGAUGUGCCCAGGUGGGAUUAGCUUGUUGGUGGGGUAACGGCUCACCAAGGCGACGAUCCCUAGCUGGUCUGAGAGGAUGACCAGCCACACUGGAACUGAGACACGGUCCAGACUCCUACGGGAGGCAGCAGUGGGGAAUAUUGCGCAAUGGGCGCAAGCCUGAUGCAGCCAUGCCGCGUGUAUGAAGAAGGCCUUCGGGUUGUAAAGUACUUUCAGCGGGGAGGCGUUACCCACAGAAGAAGCAACGGCUAACUCCGUGCCAGCAGCCGCGGUAAUUC
rnacentral:rRNA from 1 species